rnacentral:rRNA from 1 species
UUUGAUCCUGGCUCAGAUUGAACGCUGGCGGCAUGCCUUACACAUGCAAGUCGAACGGCAGCACGGGAGCAAUCCUGGUGGCGAGUGGCGAACGGGUGAGUAAUACAUCGGAACGUGCCCAAUCGUGGGGGAUAACGCAGCGAAAGCUGUGCUAAUACCGCAUAAGAUCUACGGAUGAAAGCAGGGGAUCGCAAGACCUUGCGCGAAUGGAGCGGCCGAUGGCAGAUUAGGUAGUUGGUGAGGUAAAGGCUCACCAAGCCUUCGAUCUGUAGCUGGUCUGAGAGGACGACCAGCCACACUGGGACUGAGACACGGCCCAGACUCCUACGGGAGGCAGCAGUGGGGAAUUUUGGACAAUGGGCGCAAGCCUGAUCCAGCCAUGCCGCGUGCAGGAUGAAGGCCUUCGGGUUGUAAACUGCUUUUGUACGGAACGAAACGGCUCUUUCUAAUAAAGAGGGCUAAUGACGGUACCGUAAGAAUAAGCACCGGCUAACUACGUGCCAGCAGCCGCGGUAAUACGUAGGGUGCAAGCGUUAAUCGGAAUUACUGGGCGUAAAGCGUGCGCAGGCGGUGAUGUAAGACAGUUGUGAAAUCCCCGGGCUCAACCUGGGAACUGCAUCUGUGACUGCAUCGCUGGAGUGCGGCAGAGGGGGAUGGAAUUCCGCGUGUAGCAGUGAAAUGCGUAGAUAUGCGGAGGAACACCGAUGGCGAAGGCAAUCCCCUGGGCCUGCACUGACGCUCAUGCACGAAAGCGUGGGGAGCAAACAGGAUUAGAUACCCUGGUAGUCCACGCCCUAAACGAUGUCAACUGGUUGUUGGGUCUUCACUGACUCAGUAACGAAGCUAACGCGUGAAGUUGACCGCCUGGGGAGUACGGCCGCAAGGUUGAAUCUCAAAGGAAUUGACGGGGACCCGCACAAGCGGUGGAUGAUGUGGUUUAAUUCGAUGCAACGCGAAAAACCUUACCCACCUUUGACAUGUACGGAAUUUGCCAGAGAUGGCUUAGUGCUCGAAAGAGAACCGUAACACAGGUGCUGCAUGGCUGUCGUCAGCUCGUGUCGUGAGAUGUUGGGUUAAGUCCCGCAACGAGCGCAACCCUUGUCAUUAGUUGCUACAUUUAGUUGGGCACUCUAGUGAGACUGCCGGUGACAAACCGGAGGAAGGUGGGGAUGACGUCAAGUCCUCAUGGCCCUUAUAGGUGGGGCUACACACGUCAUACAAUGGCUGGUACAAAGGGUUGCCAACCCGCGAGGGGGAGCUAAUCCCAUAAAACCAGUCGUAGUCCGGAUCGCAGUCUGCAACUCGACUGCGUGAAGUCGGAAUCGCUAGUAAUCGUGGAUCAGAAUGUCACGGUGAAUACGUUCCCGGGUCUUGUACACACCGCCCGUCACACCAUGGGAGCGGGUUCUGCCAGAAGUAGUUAGCCUAACCGCAAGGAGGGCGAUUACCACGGCAGGGUUCGUGACUGGGGUGAAGUCGUAACAAGGUA